rnacentral:rRNA from 1 species
GAUGAACGCUGGCGGCGUGCCUAAUACAUGCAAGUCGAGCGAACAGACGAGGAGCUUGCUCCUCUGACGUUAGCGGCGGACGGGUGAGUAACACGUGGAUAACCUACCUAUAAGACUGGGAUAACUUCGGGAAACCGGAGCUAAUACCGGAUAAUAUAUUGAACCGCAUGGUUCAAUAGCGAAAGACGGUUUUGCUGUCACUUAUAGAUGGAUCCGCGCCGCAUUAGCUAGUUGGUAAGGUAACGGCUUACCAAGGCAACGAUGCGUAGCCGACCUGAGAGGGUGAUCGGCCACACCGGAACUGAGACACGGUCCAGACUCCUACGGGAGGCAGCAGUAGGGAAUCUUCCGCAAUGGGCGAAAGCUUGACGGAGCAACGCCGCGUGAGUGAUGAAGGUCUUCGGAUCGUAAAACUCUGUUAUUAGGGAAGAACAAAUGUGUAAGUAACUAUGCACGUCUUGACGGUACCUAAUCAGAAAGCCACGGCUAACUACGUG